rnacentral:lncRNA from 1 species
CAAGAACCCACUCUUGGCGUCUGGAUGGAGAUCCCUUUCUGGUAACAAUAACUACAGCAUUCAAACAUUUAUUAUAUGAAAGUUUGUGCUUUACUGUCUCAAGUAUACUUAUUAUAAUAGUGACAGCAGCGGCGGGCCAUCUGGAGCGGCCACUGCCAUUACGCCGGCUGCAGCAGAGAGCCGUGGGAAGUGGCAGCAGGAGCGGCUGCAGGAGCAGCAGUGGCAGAGGUCGGCCCCCUGUGCCCCAUCCCCGAGGCAGCCGACUGCACCACUGCACCACCCCUGCCCUUGUGCACGGAGGGGCAGGACCCGUCCCCAAGCCCAGAGCCUCCCCAAUUCUGGAGUCCGGGCCCUGGAACGCUGCUCUGGCCCGCUGCUGCGGGGAAGGCAUGGGGAGGAGGUGGAGCUAGGCCUGGGGCAGUGAAGCACUCCAUGGAGCCAGUGGGAGCCAGGGACAAGCAGGAGCACCCCCAGAGCUUGCCUCCCUGAAGCCACUGUGAUGGGGCCCGGCCUAGCCGCCUGCUGGAGGGGGAGCAACGCUGUCAGGCACAGAGGGGUGGGCAAAGAGAGGCCCAGUGAGGACCUGGUUCCCGCACCCUAGGCUGCGAGGAGGCGCGUUGCCUGCCGGGGCUGCCUGCACACUCCACAAGAAGCAGGCUCGUGCAGGACUCAGACAUCUCUACAGUCUGCACCCUCGGGGCCUGGGAAGGCCCCCAAUGCCUCUGCAGGGUUGCGGGUGUCUGCUCCCACUGCCUGGCCUCUUCCUGCUCCCAAAGCCUCAGAGCAGGUUUGGGGACGAGCCUGGGCACUGCAAAAACCUGGCCGGGUGUGCACACACUCAGGGCAGCACUGAGACGCGAGCCCCAUCCGGACUUUGGGUGCCGACGAGCACGGGGUUAGGGGAAGCCAAGGAGGUGCUGAGGGCGGCUCAUUGCUGGCCUGCAGGUGCCCCUUGGCACAGGCAGCCUGGGCACUAUGGGUGACGGCAGGACGCAGACAGGCUCCUGGAUGGAAGGGCAUGGGUCCCCACCUUCAGGCCAGAGAGGCGACUGGGCUGCCAGUCCCGCAGACCAGAGUGGGAACUUGUGGUGCCUUUUCCAGGCCUGCCCAUGGCCGCUCAUGGACCAAUAGGGACACAGUUCCUUCCCCCUGAGGCCCGUAGAAGCCCCAGGCUCCGCCAGAGCUAGACAGGUGACGGGAUUACCAGCUGCAGAAAGGAGAUAUCCUUUUUGCUGGGAGCUGAACACUUGUUGGGAUGACCUGCCGGCAGAGAAGACCUACCCACUCUACUAGGAGAUGAAUACUCACAGGACACUCUGGCUGCGGAAAGGAGCUGCCCCGCGCUGGUCUCUGAACUGUUCUAUCACUUGAUAAAGCUGCUCUUCAUCUUUCUCACCCUUCACUAGUCUGUGUACCUCAUUAUUCCUGGAUGCAGGACAAAAACUCAGAACCCGCUGGAUGAUCACUAUCCACCUCCGCAGCUACCACCUCCUUUGUUCCAAGAAGAAUGGCCACUUUAAGAUAAAAGCUCUGGGGCCGAGCGCGGUGGCUCAUGCCUGUAAUCCCAGCACUUUGGGAGACGGAGGUGGGUGGAUCACCUCAGGUCAGAAGUUUGAGACCUCUGUCUCUACUGAAACUAUAAAAAAUUGGCCGGGCAUGGUGGUGGGUGUCUGUAGUUCCAGCUACGUGGUAAGCUGAGGCAGGAGAAUGACUUGAACCCGGGAGGCGGAGGUUGCAGUGAGCCAGGAUUGCGCCACUGCACUCCAGCCUGGGAGACAGAGUCAGACUCUGUCUCAAAAAAAAGCUAUGGGCCUGCAGGAUGCCUAAUAUAAAAGGAUGUUUUUAUGAUUGCUUAUCAUUUCCACUAUCUCAGAGACAUUAUUUCAUCACUAAUUUUCUGAUUCAUCACAGUUUAUUUUUCUCACUUUAAAAAUUAUACCAUAUUGCACAUUAAGUUUUCAGUAUGUUCAUGUUUUUCACAGUUUUACUUUACAGAUUCAUUUUACUUUUAGAUUCAUAUUGUAGUUGCAUCCUUUAGUUGCUGAUUGACAUUACAGCAUUUUCUCCAGGGCAGAUAAAAAGCACAUACAUGUUGUCAUGCUUCCAAAUGUUCUCCUUUGAAAUGAGUCCCCCUUCUAAAGAAGAGGUUUUAAUGACAAGGCUAAUUCCACAACAAGAUUUUAAAGACUUGCAAAAGACAAGUAAGAAACUAGAAAGCUAUCCUGUUUUCUGAGAGUGCUACAGUGCUGCAGAUAUUAUAAUUUUGUGUUUAUUUCUUUCUACAUUUUAUGACAAAGAAAACAUGAAUAUAAAUUAGCCCUUUGUUUCUUUCUUUUUCUUUUUUUUUUUUUUUUUUAAGACAAGGUCUCACUCUGUCAUCCAGACUGGAGGGCAGUGGUGCAAUCAUAGCUUGCUGCAGCCUCAAACUCCUGGGCUCAAGCAAUCCUCCCAGCUCAGCCUCCCUAGUAGCUGGGACUACAGGUAAGUGCCACCAUAUCCAGCUAGUUUUGCUUUUUAUUUAAUGUUUUUGUAGAGGCAAAGUCUCACUAUGUUGUCCUCAUUGGCCCUUUAUUUUUUAGAAGAAAAACAGUUUUUUUCUAUGAUUAAAGACCAUGUUUUAAUUUAAAACUGAAAAAAUCUAAAUUUGUAACUCCUAAAUUAAAAAUCCCAAUGAGGACUAAACUCUGAGUUUUUAUCUUGCCCAAACUCCUAUCUAAGGGGUCUGGGAGGUCGUGCCCUGCAAACCAUAAAUUCUUAUCAGAUGGGUUUUAUUUAACCGGGUAUAUCAAUACUUAUUUUCCAACAUGACUCUGGCAUAACAUUAUGAGACAAGGAAGAAAAUAAAAGUAUUUUACCCCAAAACAUUUUUCUUUGCCAUAUUUUGAAAUGGCCCUGCAAAAAUGUUCUUUGUGAGGGAAAAUUUGCAUCUGUAAAGAAUCUCAAUUAACAUAGCUAGAUCUUUUUCUUUCAGAUGCUUCCAAUCCUAAAGAGAUUAACUAAGAUUUAAAUAGGAAACAUUUGUCAUCUAUUGUCUCUAAGGGCAGCCACUAUAAGACUUCUAAAGAACUUUGGUCUCCACAAUCUUAGCCUGAACAUUCCCUUUCUGUCAGUCUCAAGUCUUUAGACAAACUCAACCAAUUGUCAACGAGAAAAUGUUUAAAUUCACCUAUAGCUUGGAAGCCCCCCGACCAACAUUGAGUUGUCCUGCCUUUCUGGACCAAACCGAUGUAUUUCUUAAAUGUGUUUGAUUGAUGUCUCAUGCCUCUCUAAAAUGUAUAAAACCAAGCUACCAAGCUGUGCCCCAACCACCUUGGGCACAUGCUCUCAGGACCUCUUGAGGGCUGUGUCGUGGG